AGGAAUGUCUCUUAUCCUAGUAAUUACUAAUGACUGCUUGGAAUAAAGUAAUAUGUUCUAUAUACGCCAUUAAAGUAGCAGCUGCAUUUCGGGACUUCUAAUUGAGAUAUGAAUACACUAAGGUUGUACAAAAAAAAGGGUUUUUGACAAAUUUUAAGCCCGUAAAGGGUUUUAUAAGAUUAAAAAAGAUUCAAAAGGUCCGUUGAGCGCCUCCUGGAUAUGUCAUAAUAGAUCCGAACACUUGCCCUGGAUCGACUUCCAGACAUAAUUGCUCUAGUGAAUAACUAAAGAAAAUAAAUAGAUGGG
rnacentral:lncRNA from 1 species